rnacentral:rRNA from 1 species
UACGGAGGGUGCGAGCGUUGUCCGGAAUCAUUGGGCGUAAAGGGCGCGUAGGUGGCCCGGUCAGUUCGUGGUGAAAGCGCGGGGCUCAACCCUGCGUCGGCCAUGAAUACUGCCGCGGCUGGAGCACUGUAGAGGCAGGCGGAAUUCCGGGUGUAGCGGUGGAAUGCGUAGAGAUCCGGAAGAACACCGGUGGCGAAGGCGGCCUGCUGGGCAGUGCUGACACUGAGGCGCGACAGCGUGGGGAGCAAACAGGG